rnacentral:rRNA from 1 species
AGGGGAGCGGCAGACGGGAGAGUAACACGUGGGAACGUACCCUUCAGUUCGGAACAACCCAGGGAAACUUGGGCUAAUACCGGAUACGUCCGUAAGGAGAAAGAUUUAUCGCUGAAGGAUCGGCCCGCGUCUGAUUAGCUAGUUGGUGAGGUAACGGCUCACCAAGGCGACGAUCAGUAGCUGGUCUGAGAGGAUGAUCAGCCUCACUGGGACUGAGACACGGCCCAGACUCCUACGGGAGGCAGCAGUGGGGAAUAUUGGACAAUGGGCGCAAGCCUGAUCCAGCCAUGCCGCGUGGAUGAUGAAGGCCCUAGGGUUGUAAAGUCCUUUCGGCGGGGAAGAUAAUGACGGUACCCGCAGAAGAAGCCCCGGCUAACUUCGUGCCAGCAGCCGCGGUAAUACGAAGGGGGCUAGCGUUGCUCGGAAUCACUGGGCGUAAAGCGCACGUAGGCGGCAUCUUAAGUCGGUGGUGAAAUCCUGGAGCUCAACUCCAGAACUGCCUCCGAUACUGAGGUGCUUGAGUCCGGGAGAGGUGAGUGGAACUGCGAGUGUAGAGGUGAAAUUCGUAGAUAUUCGCAAGAACACCAGUGGCGAAGGCGGCUCACUGGCCCGGUACUGACGCUGAGUGCGAAAGCGUGGGGAGCAAACAGAUUAGAUACCCUGGUAGUCCACGCCGUAAACGAUGGAUGCUAGCCGUUGGCAGCUUGCCUGUCAGUGGCGCAGCUACGCAUAAGCAUCCCGCCUGGGGAGU